rnacentral:rRNA from 1 species
UACGAAGGGGGCUAGCGUUGCUCGGAAUUACUGGGCGUAAAGCGCACGUAGGCGGCUUUUUAAGUCGGGGGUGAAAUCCUGGAGCUCAACUCCAGAACUGCCUUCGAUACUGGAAAGCUCGAGUCCGGGAGAGGUGAGUGGAACUGCGAGUGUAGAGGUGAAAUUCGUAGAUAUUCGCAAGAACACCAGUGGCGAAGGCGGCUCACUGGCCCGAUACUGACGCUGAGGCACGAAAGCGUGGGGAGCAAACA